CUAAGCCAUGCAUGUCUUAGUACUGACCGUCAAAAAAUACAGGUGAAACCGCGAAUGGCUCAUUAAAUCAGCGAUGGUUCGAUGGAGAUCGAGGAGAGAGAGAGGGCUGCCCGCCACGGGCGUCCGGAAUCCAAUGUGUAAUUGGAUAACCGUGGCAAUUCUAGAGCUAAUACAUGCAACUCAUGCUCGACAUGCCCCAGCUUCGUGCACGGGGUAGAGCGCUUUUAUUAGACCGCCGUCGGGUUCGGAGUCAAAUCCGUACCCGCUCUUGGUGGKGAAUCUGGAUAAACGAUCCGUUCGAAUGGUGAAGCCGAUCGAGCCGGGUAACGCGGCGUGUAUGCGUCGCGUGUGAUGCCCGGUCGACGGGACCUUCAAGUGUCUGCCUUAUCAACUUUAGACGGCAGGACAUUUGCCUGCCGUGGUUGUCACGGGUGACGGGGAAUCAGGGUUCGAUUCCGGAGAGGGAGCCUGAGAAACGGCUACCACAUCCAAGGAAGGCAGCAGGCUCGCAAAUUACCCAAUUGUGGAACGCAGAGGUAGUGACGAAAAAUGACGAUCCGGGACUCGGUCGAGCUUCCCGGGAUUGGAUUGAGCGCAGCUCAAAAAAAUGUGGCGAGCAUUCCACCGGAGAGCAAGUCUGGUGCCAGCAGUCGCGGUAAUUCCAGCUCCGGCAGCAUAUGCUAAAGUUGCUGCGGUUAAAAAGCUCGUGGUUGGAUCUCAGGCUGUGGCCGUCGUGACCCGCUCAGGGGCGGGCCUGCGGCGUGCCGGUCAGAACGGCCGGCGGCUCGCGGACGAUCUUCACCGGUCGUUCGUCGGUGCCGUCGGCAAGUUUACCUUGAACAAAGGGAAGUGCUCAAGGCAGGGCGUUAUCGGCCCGAACGUUCCGUGCAUGGAAUAAUGGAAGAAGGCCCCGGCUCGUCAGGAUGAAGACGUGGAGGCGGAAAGUCGGCGUUGCGGACGUGGGGUAACACCCGCGUUAUCGUAACGUUACGUACUAGUACGUCGCGCGUGUAUAGUCCGCGAGAUCUGGACGGGGCAAUGAUUAAGGGGGACGGCCCGGGGACGAUCGUACCGCUCGGCUAGAGGUGAAAUUCUUGGACCCGAGCGAGACGUCCGGCAGCGAAAGCGUUCGUCAAGAGCGUUUCCGUUAAUCUAGAACGAAAGUCAGAGGUUCGAAGGCGAUCAGAUACCGCCCUAGUUCUGACCGUAAACGAUGCCAACCAGCGAUCUCGAUGCGAGCUUAUUGAUAACGCCGCUCGAGGAAGCUUUAUCCCGGGAAACCAGAGUGUCUGGGUUCCGGGGGAAGUAUGGUUGCAAAACUGAAACUUAAAGGAAUUGACGGAAGGGCACCACCAGGAGUGGAGCCUGCGGCUUAAUUUGACUCAACACGGGAAAGCUUACCCGGCCCGGACACUGGAACGAUUGACAGAAUGAUGGCUCUUUCUUGAUUCUGUGGGUGGUGGUGCAUGGCCGUUCUUAGUUCGUGGAGUGAUUUGUCUGGUUGAUUCCGAUAACGAACGAGACUCUAGCCUACUAACUAGCCGUCGUCCUUUGCGGAGGGGCACGUUCUAUACGUCGCGCCCUCCAGACGACGAGAAAGUCUUCUUAGAGGGACUGGCCAAGUUUGAAAAAGAAUUGGCACGAGGUGAGAGCGAUAACAGGUCUGUGAUGCCCUCAGAUGUCCGGGGCCGCACGCGCGCUACACUGACGCUCGCAGUGUGCGCACAUGAUUGAAUUCCUGGCCCGGAAYGGGCUGGGGAACCCCAUCAACGAGAUGAUUUUUCUCGUCGUGAUGGGGACAGGGAAUUGGAAUUAUCUCCCUCGAACGAGGAAUUCCUGGUAGGGGCGAGUCAUCAGCUCGCCUCGAAUACGUCCCUGCCCUUUGUACACACCGCCCGUCGCUACUACCGAUAGAACGGUUCGGUGAGGUCCUCGGACUGGUGUUGGUAGCGUGACCAGGACUCCGGUCCACACGAUGCCUUCUUGCCGGAAAGUCGAUCGAACCGUUUCGUUUAGAGGAAGUAAAAGUCGUAACAAGGUUUCC
rnacentral:rRNA from 1 species